UUGAGCCGUACGAGGUGAAAUUCUCAUAUACGGCUCUCGGGGGGGGGGGGGGGGUUCCCUUUGUUUACCUAUCUCAAU